rnacentral:rRNA from 1 species
UGGGGAAUCUUGCACAAUGGGGGAAACCCUGAUGCAGCGACGCCGCGUGAGCGAUGAAGGUUUUCGAAUCGUAAAGCUCUGUCCUAUGGGAAGAUAAUGACGGUACCAUGGGAGGAAGCCCCGGCUAACUACGUGCCAGCAGCCGCGGUAAUACGUAGGGGGCGAGCGUUGGCCGGAAUUACUGGGCGUAAAGGGUUCGCAGGCGGCAUGGCAAGUCCGAUGUAAAAGGCGAAGGCUCAACCUUCGUAAGCAUCGGAAACUGUCAAGCUUGAGUGAAGGAGAGGCAAGUGGAAUUCCUAGUGUAGCGGUGGAAUGCGUAGAUAUUAGGAGGAAUACCGGUGGCGAAGGCGACUUGCUGGACUUCAACUGACGCUGAGGAACGAAAGCGUGGGUAGCAAACAGG